rnacentral:rRNA from 1 species
UUCCGGUUGAUCCUGCCGGAGGUUACUGCUAUCGAGGUUCGACUAAGCCAUGCGAGUCGAAUGUAGCAAUACAUGGCGAACUGCUCAGUAACACGUGGACAACCUGCCCUUAGGACGGGGAUAAACCCGGGAAACUGGGUAUAAUACCCGAUAGGUCUCGAUUGCUGGAAUGCAUCGAGAUUUAAAGCUCCGGCGCCUAAGGAUGGGUCUGCGGCCUAUCAGGUAGUAGUGGGUGUAGCGUACCUACUAGCCUACGACGGGUACGGGUUGUGAGAGCAAGAGCCCGGAGAUGGAUUCUGAGACACGAAUCCGGGCCCUACGGGGUGCAGCAGGCGCGAAAACUUUACAAUGCUGGCAACAGCGAUAAGGGAACCUCGAGUGCCAGGUUACAAAUCUGGCUGUCGAGAUGCCUAAAAAGCAUUUCAUAGCAAGGGCCGGGCAAGACCGGUGCCAGCCGCCGCGGUAACACCGGCGGCUCGAGUGGUAACCGUUAUUAUUGGGUCUAAAGGGUCUGUAGCCGGCCGGAUAAGUCUCUUGAGAAAUCUGGCAGCUUAACUGUCAGGCUUUCAGGAGAUACUGUCUGGCUCGAGGCCGGGAGAGGUGAGAGGUACUUCAGGGGUAGGGGUGAAAUCUUGUAAUCCUUGAAGGACCACCAGUGGCGAAGGCGUCUCACCAGAACGGACCUGACGGCAAGGGACGAAAGCUAGGGGCACGAACCGGAUUAGAUACCCGGGUAGUCCUAGCCGUAAACGAUACUCGCUAGGUGUCGGCCACGGUGCGACCGUUGUCGGUGCCGUAGGGAAGCCGUGAAGCGAGCCACCUGGGAAGUACGGCCGCAAGGCUGAAACUUAAAGGAAUUGGCGGGGGAGCACCACAACGG